ensembl:snRNA U6 U6 spliceosomal RNA
GUGCUCGCUUCAGCCGCACAUACACUAAAAUUGGAACGAUACAAGGAAGAUUAACAUGACCCCUGUGCAAGGAUGGCACGCAAAUUCGUGAAGCGUUCCCUAUUUUU